GGCCUGAUGGCCGAGUGACUAGCGAUCAAAGGCUACAGGUUUCGGUCAUGGAUGUUUGUAGUGGUUCGAAUCCACUUUAAGCCG